rnacentral:rRNA from 1 species
AGUGAACGCUGGCGGUAGGCCUAACACAUGCAAGUCGAACGGCAGCACAGUAAGAGCUUGCUCUUACGGGUGGCGAGUGGCGGACGGGUGAGGAGUACAUCGGAAUCUACUUUUUCGUGGGGGAUAACGAAGGGGAACAUACGCUAAUACCGCAUACGACCUAAGGGUGAAAGCAGGGGAUCUUCGGACCUUGCGCGAUUGAAUGAGCCGAUGUCGGAUUAGCUAGUUGGCGGGGUAAAGGCCCACCACGGCGACGAUCCGUAGCUGGUCUGAGAGGAUGAUCGGCCACCCUAGAACUGAGACACGGUCCAGACUCCUGCGGGAGGCAGCAGUGUGGAAUAGUGGACAGUGGGCGCAAGCCUGGUCCAGCCAUACCGCGUGGGUUGAGAAGGCCUUCGGGUUGGAAAGCCCUUCUGUUGGGAAAGAAAAGCAGCAGGUUAAGACCCCGCUGUACUGACGGUACCCAAAGAAUAAGCACCGGCUAACUUCGUG